GCCACCUUGAACUAUAGUGUAGCCUACGGCUUGUGUAUUUCCUGUUAUCGCUAAUGGCCUAGAGAAGAUGAUGCCCAAUCUAUAGAUAAUCUGUCUUUCCCUCAACACCUCAUGGUAUGUAUGUUAUCUUAUCUAGCUGUAUACAGAUCUAAAUGUUGUUAGCCAAUCACAGACUGUGUUGUUACCAGUUCCACAUCAGACAACCAAUAAAAGUUGUGUCCACGGCUUUCAGAGGAGUUCAUAGGUGCUAUUCGGAAUCCUUGGGAUGUCCUUUCAAUCGAAUAGAGCAGUUCAUAGACUUCCCCAGAGGUUUGUGCUAUUCGGGAUGUCCAUACCUCUAUCAAGUAUAAAUGUACAUUGGUUAAGUUUAGUGUUAACUUAGGGUUCAGAGUAAGGACAUCCAAAGGAAUCCGGAUUGCGGUGACCGUUCAUAGUGUGAGAGACUGGCACGGUAUUUGAGAGCCCGGCAGCGACACAGACGUUCAUUUUUAUUUAUUUUUUUACAAGCUGCAGAAGCGAUUUGAGUGUCUGCCCCAGAUAGUUUCAUUAGAGACGAUGAUCCAAUUGAGGAUCAAGAUGUGAUGAACCAGAGCAACCAAUCAGCUUCACUGCAGGUGCUCAACCCACCACCCUCUCACUGUUCUCCCUCCACAAGUAACCACAUCCUCUUCUCCUGUUCAACUACUGUGCCACCCCACUAAAAAUGACUGUACAUAUACCCCUGUGCCCAUCUCAGUGUAACAUGAUCCAUCCAAGGCCUCAGCUGGAUGCCUGAAAUGUAAGCAAGAUGCUAUAGUGUGUGUGUGUGUGUGUGUGUGUGUGUGUGUGUGUGUGUGUGUGUGUGUGUGUGUAUAUGGAGUUCCAAGUAAAGACUUGAAGAUGGCAAAGGAAAUAGUGAUGAGAGUGAGAGCAUACAGUAUGGAAAUAAAGACCCC
ensembl:lncRNA